rnacentral:rRNA from 1 species
AUUGAACGCUGGCGGCAGGCCUAACACAUGCAAGUCGAACGAGUGGCGGACGGGUGAGUAAUGUAUGGGAAACUGCCUGACGGAGGGGGAUAACUACUGGAAACGGUAGAUAAUACCGCUAACCAUCAGAUGUGCCCAGAUGGGAUGAGCUAGUUGGUGGGGUAACGGCUCACCAAGGCGACGCUCCCUAGCUGGUCUGAGAGGAUGACCGGCCACACUGGAACUGAGACACGGUCCAGACUCCUACGGGAGGCAGCAGUGGGGAAUAUUGCGCAAUGGGCGCAAGCCUGAUGCAGCCAUGCCGCGUGUAUGAAGAAGGCCUUCGGUUUGUAAAGUUCUUUCGGCGGGGAAGCGUUACCCACAGAGGAAGCACCGGCUAACUCCGUGCCAGCAGCCGCGGUAAUUC